CCUACGGGAGGCAGCAGUGAGGAAUAUUGGUCAAUGGCCGGAAGGCUGAACCAGCCAUGCCGCGUGAAGGUCAGUGCCCUAUGGGCGUUAAACUUCUUUUGUGCGGGAGCAAUAAUGGUCACGUGUGGCCAGACGAGAGUACCGUACGAAUAAGCAUCGGCUAACUCCGUGCCAGCAGCCGCGGUAAUACGGGGGAUGCAAGCGUUAUCCGGAUUUAUUGGGUUUAAAGGGUGCGUAGGCUGGGAGGUAAGUCAGCGGUGAAAUGCCCCCGCUCAACGGGGUGAAGUGCCAUUGAUACUGCCUGGCUGGAAGGCGGAUGCCGUGGGAGGAAUGUGUGGUGUAGCGGUGAAAUGCAUAGAUAUCACACAGAACACCGAUUGCGAAGGCAUCUCACGAAUCCGCGAUUGACGCUGAUGCACGAAAGCGUGGGUAUCAAACAGGAUUAGAUACCCUAGUAGUC
rnacentral:rRNA from 1 species